rnacentral:rRNA from 1 species
GAUGAACGCUGGCGGCGUGCCUAAUACAUGCAAGUCGAGCGAACAGACGAGGAGUUUGCUCCUCUGACGUUAGCGGCGGACGGGUGAGUAACACGUGGAUAACCUACCUAUAAGACUGGGAUAACUUCGGGAAACCGGAGCUCACACCGGAUAACAUGUUGAACCGCAUGGUUCAACAGUGAAAGACGGUCUUGCUGUCACUUAUAGAUGGAUCCGCGCCGCAUUAGCUAGUUGGUAAGGUAACGGCUUACCAAGGCAACGAUCCGUAACCGACCUGGGAGGGUAAUCGCCCACACUGGAAGUGGGACACGGUUCAGACUCCUGCGAGAGGCAGCAGUAGGGAAUCGUCCGCAAUGUGCGCAGGCCUGACGGAGCAACGCCGCGUGUGUUAAGAAGGUCUUCGGAUCGUAAAGCACUGUUAGUAGGGAAGAACAAAUGGGUAAGUAACUAUGCACAGCGUGACGGUACCUAGUCAGAAAACCACGGCUAACUACGUG